rnacentral:rRNA from 1 species
AACGAACGCUGGCGGCAUGCCUAACACAUGCAAGUCGAACGAGACCUUCGGGUCUAGUGGCGCACGGGUGCGUAACGCGUGGGAACCUGCCUUUAGGUUCGGAAUAACUCAGAGAAAUUUGAGCUAAUACCGGAUGAUGUCUUCGGACCAAAGAUUUAUCGCCUUUAGAUGGGCCCGCGUUGGAUUAGCUAGUUGGUGGGGUAAAGGCCUACCAAGGCGACGAUCCAUAGCUGGUCUGAGAGGAUGAUCAGCCACACUGGGACUGAGACACGGCCCAGACUCCUACGGGAGGCAGCAGUGGGGAAUAUUGGACAAUGGGCGAAAGCCUGAUCCAGCAAUGCCGCGUGAGUGAUGAAGGCCUUAGGGUUGUAAAGCUCUUUUACCCGAGAUGAUAAUGAUAGUAUCGGGAGAAUAAGCUCCGGCUAACUCCGUG